UACAGAGGGCUCGAGCGUUAAUCGGAAUCACUGGGCUUAAAGGGUGCGCAGGCGGACCCGUCAGUGUCUUGUGAAAUCCCACGGCUUAACCGUGGAACUGCAGGGCAUACUACGGGUCUUGAACCCGGCAGGGGCAAUCGGAACUCUAGGUGGAGCGGUGAAAUGCGUAGAUAUCUAGAGGAACGCCAAAGGCGAAGGCA
rnacentral:rRNA from 1 species